rnacentral:rRNA from 1 species
AUUGAACGCUGGCGGCAUGCCUUACACAUGCAAGUCGAACGGCAGCACGGGGGCAACCCUGGUGGCGAGUGGCGAACGGGUGAGUAAUAUAUCGGAACGUACCCUGGAGUGGGGGAUAACGUAGCGAAAGUUACGCUAAUACCGCAUACGAUCUACGAAAGAAAGUGGGGGAUCUUCGGACCGCAUGCUUUUGGAGCGGCCGAUGUUUGAUUAGCUAGUUGGUGAGGUAAAGGCUCACCAAGGCGUCGAGCAGUAGCUGGUCUGAGAGGACGACCAGCCACACUGGGACUGGGCCACGGCCCAGACUCCUACGGGAGGCAGCAGUGGGGAAUUUUGGACAAUGGGCGCAAGCCUGAUCCAGCAAUGCCGCGUGAGUGAAGAAGGCCUUCGGGUUGUAAAGCUCUUUUGUCAGGGAAGAAACGGCUGGGGUUAAUACCCCUGGCUAAUGACGGUACCUGAAGAAUAAGCACCGGCUAACUACGUGCCAGCAGCCGCCGUAA